rnacentral:rRNA from 1 species
UACAGGGGGGGCAAGCGUUGUUCGGAAUUACUGGGCGUAAAGGGUCUGUAGGUGGCCAACUAAGUCGGACGUGAAAUCCCUCGGCUUAACCGGGGAACUGCGUCCGAUACUGGAUGGCUUGAGUUCGGGAGAGGGAUGCGGAAUUCCAGGUGUAGCGGUGAAAUGCGUAGAUAUCUGGAGGAACACCGGUGGCGAAGGCGGCAUCCUGGACCGACACUGACGCUGAGGAGCGAAAGCCAGGGGAGCAAACAGG